rnacentral:tRNA from 5 species
GGUCCGAUAGCUCAAUGGUUAGAGCACCUGCCUUUUAAGCAGGGUGUUCUGGGUUCGAGUCCCAGUCGGACCA